AAAAUCGAUAGUGUAUUAGUAUUGAGAAGGAAAGCACUUCGAAUUAAAAUAAGGAAAGAAGUCAUAAUAAAUUUGAAAUUUUUGUUAUUCUAUCGUUUAAAACUUUUUACUUUUUGCAUAACGGUUUCAUUAUUUAAAAGAAAAAGGUAAGCUUUAAAAAAACUUAAAAGCUAAUAAUUUUAAAUUUUUAAAACAUUUUUAUAAUCUUUUCUUUUAAACACGAAGCCAAGCGAUCUAUUCAAGCGCUAGCUGAAAUUGAUUUAAACAUCAAUGGAAGGCUUAACUCGUGUCUGUUGCAAUAGGCUGGGAUGACGUUUGAAUAGGAGUGAAAGGCUAAUCAAGCUUGGUUAUAGCUUGAACUCCGCGAAAGUUAUUUUAGUAACGCCGCCAUAUAUAAAAAUGAGGUAAAGCACUGAUUUCGUUUUGGGUGAUUUAAUACUCUUUCAAGCGUUCUUAAACUUUGAAUACAUGUAAUAAUAGUUAAUUGGUGAGUCAGACUUUGAGCUAUAAAGUUCAAAGUCAAGAGAGAAACAACUCAGAUCGUUUGAUAAGAUAUCUAAAUAUAAUUUUA
rnacentral:rRNA from 1 species